rnacentral:lncRNA from 11 species
AGAAACUGUGGACGUUCUGAGGUUCAGCCAUGAAGAUCUUGUUCUGCUUAUUUUUUGUUCUCAUUCUUAUGCUGCCAGGCUUUCUUUUCCACUCUCAAGGAACAUGCUCAGAUGGAGUUUGCAGGCGUAGAUGGUGCUACAGGGAGGAACGACACUGGGGACGUUGCCGAUAUGAUCGUAACCAGUUGUAUUGUUGCUUUUGGUAAGCUGGUUCUCUCUGGAGGGGAAAUCCAUGAUUGAACCUAAGUCA